rnacentral:rRNA from 1 species
GAACUCGGCAAAAUGACCCUGUAACUUUGGGAGCAGGGGUGUUCUCCUAUCUUUUGAUUAGAAAAGCGUCACAUACCAGGGGGUAGCGACUGUUUAUUAAAAACACAUGACUCUGCUAAGUGGUAACACGAUGUAUAGAGUCUGACACCUGCCCUGUGCCGGAAGGUCGAAAGGAGAAGUGUUAUAAGCUUUGAAUGAAAGCCCCGGUAAACGGCGGCAGUAACUCUAACUAUCCUAAGGUAGCGAAAUUCCUUGUCGACACCUUCAUCAGCAUAGAUCGAAAACAUAAUAU